GAUGAACGCUGACAGAAUGCUUAACACAUGCAAGUCGAGGGGCAGCAUGGGCUUAGCUUGCUAAGCCCGAUGGCGACCGGCGCACGGGUGAGUAACACGUAUCCAACCUUCCGGUAACUCCGGUAUAGCCUUUCGAAAGAAAGAUUAAUCCCGGAUAGUAUGGUGAUUCCGCAUGAUUUCUCCAUUAAAGGAUUCCGGUUACCGAUGGGGAUGCGUUCCAUUAGGCAGUUGGCGGGGUAACGGCCCACCAAACCUACGAUGGAUAGGGGUUCUGAGAGGAAGGUCCCCCACAUUGGAACUGAGACACGGUCCAA
rnacentral:rRNA from 1 species